rnacentral:rRNA from 1 species
UUUUCCUACGGGAGGCAGCAGUAGGGAAUCUUCCACAAUGGAUGAAAGUCUGAUGGAGCAACGCCGCGUGAGUGAAGAAGUAUCUCGGUACGUAAAGCUCUAUCAGCAGGGAAGAAAAAAAGUCUUUGGCUUUGGACGGUACCUGACUAAGAAGCCCCGGCUAACUACGUGCCAGCAGCCGCGGUAAUACGUAGGGGGCAAGCGUUAUCCGGAUUUACUGGGUGUAAGGGGAGCGUAGACGGCAUAGCAAGUCUGAUGUGAAAGAUCGGGGCUCAACCCCGGGCCUGCAUUGGAAACUGUUAAGG